rnacentral:rRNA from 1 species
AUUGAACGCUGGCGGCAGGCCUAACACAUGCAAGUCGAACGAGUGGCGGACGGGUGAGUAAUGUCUGGGAAACUGCCCGAUGGAGGGGGGUAACUCCUGGAAACGGUAGCUAAUACCGCAUACCAUCGGAUGUGCCCAGAUGGGAUUAGCUUGUGGGGGAGGUAACGGCUCACCUAGGCGACGAUCCCUAGCCGGUCUGCGAGGAUGACCAGCCACACGGGAACGGAGACACGGUCCAGACGCCUACGUGAGGCAGCAGUGGGGAAUAGUGCACAAUGGGCGGAAGCCUGAUGCAGCCAUGCGGCGUGUAUGAAGAAGGUCUUCGGAUUGUAAAGCACUUUAAGUUGGGAGGCGUUACCAACAGAAUAAGCACCGGCUAACUACGUGCCAGCCGCCGCGGUAAUAC